UACGUAGGGGGCAAGCGUUGUCCGGAUUUAUUGGGCGUAAGAGCGUGUAGGCGGCCAUACAGGUCCGUUGUGAAAACUCGAGGCUCAACCUCGAGACGUCGAUGGAAACCGUAUGGCUAGAGUCCGGAAGAGGAGAGUGGAAUUCCUGGUGUAGCGGUGAAAUGCGCAGAUAUCAGGAAGAACACCCGUGGCGAAGGCGGCUCUCUGGGACGGUACUGACGCUGAGACGCGAAAGCGUGGGGAGCGAACAGG
rnacentral:rRNA from 1 species